CGUCUGUCAAUAGCUAAAAAAAAAAAUACCCGUUUUGAAAAUUUGACCACGUCUAAAAGGCAAUUAUACAUUUUCUGUCCAAACUUCAAGUCUCCAUAAAUAUUUUUAACUGAAUAUAAACCCAGAACAGGAUUCCAGGGUAUGCCAAGGGAAAUUUUGAAGCAAAUCAUGCUCAGAGAAAAGAGUUCUAAGCAGUCAGUAACAUCUUAAAUUAUGUUUUGUAGAAAUCAUGAAAACAAGAGGAACGAAUGUCAUUAAAUUGAGUAAAUUGAUGCUUAUCACUCUUAGCUUCUAUCCUGAUGGGGACCUCGUUGUGGUCCCAAGGUCGUAUUUAUAGGUUAGGCUUAAGUUAGCAUUUGUAAUGGUUGAUGAUGCAAGGUACCUAAUUAUUAUUAUUAUAUUAAUCACGUGUUAUUGUAUUUUGAUCUUAAAAUUAUGGCUGUAUAAAUUGUGGUUUCAAUUUACCUCUAUCAUUUAAGUCUAGUCGAUUUAUACUUGCCUACUAAUUAGUAAUUUAUACUAUAUUGAUAAAUUAAAUAUCGCUUACAAAAUAUA